rnacentral:tRNA from 1 species
GAGGGUAUAGCUCAAGCAGUAGAGUGCAUGCUUAGCAUGCAUGAGGUCCUAGGUUCAAUCCCCAUUACUUCCU